UCAUAGCACAAUUGGCUAGCGCGUGAGACUUUUAAAUCGUCUCUGCUUCACGGAAGUGAGCGUUGGAAAUGUUAUCUCAAGGUUGAGAGUUCGAGCCUCUCCGCGGGAGAU